rnacentral:hammerhead_ribozyme from 1 species
GUGCGAAACAGCACACAUCCCGUGUGCUGUCAUUUGAAAGUGGUAUUUCAGAUCUGACGAGCAGCCUGGA